AUUGAACGCUGGCGGCAUGCUUUACACAUGCAAGUCGAACGGUAACAGGCCGCAAGGUGCUGACGAGUGGCGAACGGGUGAGUAAUGCAUCGGAACGUGCCCAGUCGUGGGGGAUAACUACUCGAAAGAGUAGCUAAUACCGCAUACGAUCUAUGGAUGAAAGCGGGGGACCGUAAGGCCUCGCGCGAUUGGAGCGGCCGAUGUCAGAUUAGGUAGUUGGUGGGGUAAAGGCUCACCAAGCCAACGAUCUGUAGCUGGUCUGAGAGGACAACCAGCCACACUGGGACUGAGACACGGCCCAGACUCCUACGGGAGGCAGCAGUGGGGAAUUUUGGACAAUGGGCGCAAGCCUGACCCAGCAAUGCCGCGUGCAGGAAGAAGGCCUUCGGGUUGUAAACUGCUUUUGUACGGAACGAAACGGCUCUGGUUAAUACCCGGGGCUAAUGACGGUACCGUAAGAAUAAGCACCGGCUAACUACGUG
rnacentral:rRNA from 1 species